AGAACGAACGCUGGCGGCAUGCCUAACACAUGCAAGUCGAACGCUUUUGGGGCUUCGGUCCCAAAGGAGUGGCGCACGGGUGAGUAGCGCGUGGGAACCUGCCCUGGAGUGGGGGAUAACCGAGGGAAACUUCGGCUAAUACCGCAUACGCCGGGAAACCGGGAAAGAUUUAUCGCUCUAGGAGGGGCCCGCGUCGGAUUAGGUAGUUGGUGGGGUAACGGCCUACCAAGCCUGUGAUCCGUAGCUGGUCUGAGAGGAUGAUCAGCCACACUGGGACUGAGACACGGCCCAGACUCCUACGGGAGGCAGCAGUGGGGAAUAUUGGACAAUGGGCGCAAGCCUGAUCCAGCAAUGCCGCGUGAGUGAUGAAGGCCUUCGGGUUGUAAAGCUCUUUCGCACGCGAGGAUGAUGACGCUAGCGUGAGAAGAAGCCCCGGCUAACUCGCGCCAGCAGCCG
rnacentral:rRNA from 1 species